rnacentral:lncRNA from 1 species
GGUGGCAGGCAGAGAGACUGUAGUCCAAAGCCCCUUCUGACCUAGACACCUCUAGGGGUUCAAACAAAGUCCUCUCACUUUGCCAAGUGCUGCCUCAGAGACCUGGAGUCUCCUNCUCCAGAGACAAAUCAAGAAACACCCUUCUUCACCCAACCGACCAUCGUCAACCACCNUCCGCGACCUCGUCAGCAACGAUGCUCAUUGCCGGAGCCACCAAGNCGAAGUCGUCGCCAAAUGGCACCGAUCACCGCCGCGACCUCUGCCGGUCACUCCUCUCCUUCUUCUCUUUUCGAUUUCUUUCUCUCAUGCGAAAGUAACUCCCUGCCAACAACCAUCGUCNCAUGCUUCCCCUCAGACCAGAGUCUUUGUUGGCGAAGCGGGUCACCGCCACUCUUCCNGGUUGGCCAAGAACAUUGUCGGCGACAACACCAUCAUCGAAAACGCCAUCNCCCUCUACUACCCUUUUCUGUUUUCCNUCCGCAUCGGAC